rnacentral:rRNA from 1 species
UUAUUGGAGAGUUUGAUCCUGGCUCAGGACGAACGCUGGCGGCGUGCCUAAUACAUGCAAGUCGAGCGAGUCUCUUCGGAGGCUAGCGGCGGACGGGUGAGUAACACGUAGGCAACCUGCCUC